rfam:Daphnia pulex DAPPTscaffold_150_Cont5910, whole genome shotgun sequence.
UCCCAUAUGGUUUAAGUGCCUAGGAUACCUGGCUUUCACCCAGGAGGCUUGGGUUCGAUUCCCGGUAUGGGAA